UACGUAGGGAGCAAGCGUUGUCCGGAAUCAUUGGGCGUAAAGCGCGCGUAGGCGGCCUCGUAAGUCCGUUGUGAAAGUCAAAGGCUCAACCUUUGAAAGCCGAUGGAUACUGUGAGGCUAGAGUUCGGAAGAGGCGAGUGGAAUUCCUGGUGUAGCGGUGGAAUGCGCAGAUAUCAGGAGGAACACCAAUAGCGAAGGCAGCUCGCUGGGACGAUACUGACGCUAAGGCGCGAAAGCGUGGGGAGCAAACAGG
rnacentral:rRNA from 1 species